UACAGAGGGCGCGAGCGUUGUCCGGAAUCACUGGGCGUAAAGGGCGCGUAGGUGGCCACUAUAAGGCCGCGGUGAAAGUUCGGGGCUCAACCCUGAAUCUGCCGCGGCGACUGUAGGGCUUGGGCAUCGUAGAGGCAGAUGGAAUUCCGGGUGUAGCGGUGGAAUGCGUAGAGAUCCGGAAGAACACCGGUGGCGAAGGCGGUCUGCUGGGCGAUGGGAGCGUAAGCUCCUCUUAGCCGACACUGAGGCGCGACAGCGUGGGGAGCAAACGGG
rnacentral:rRNA from 1 species